GAUGUAGGAUAAAAGAUGCUCUAGUCUGUGGGUACAGCAAUAAGACAUUAGAAACAGUUUUAAUACUCAGUACUCUGUCCAUUAAACAAACUGUGUUUGAUCCUCUCCUGGAGUCUAUGUCCUAUUAAGCCAAUGGUUCCUUGUCCUUUUAAUAGUGUCAGUUAUUGGUUCUUUCUCAUAGACAAGACCUCAAAGUUUUGAGACUUAAGUUGUGACUUAAAUCCCGUCAGAAAGUAGUUGGUUACUCUCAUAACGUUUGCCACUCUUGUGCAAGUGGGCAUCAUCCUGUAAGGCCAGUCAUUGUUGAAGCUUGCAGGUUUCAUAGCUGGGUGAGAGUGAGGCUUGCUUUUCUCCUUUAGCGGUGUGCACAGAACCUUCCAACACUGUGAACACUGGCCAGCAAUGAUGGAAAGCUUACGGGCGAACACCAGCUUGAUGUUCCCAUGAUCUGUGAUCCAGCUGUGUGCUCUCUUAGCAAUAGGCUUCAGCAUCAAGUUCUCAAGACUUGGAGGACCCCAUUGACUAACAGCUCAAAAAAUGCUAACCCUUUCUUGGUACCAGGAUUAUUUGUUACAAUGGGGUAUCUAGUUGGGAUAUUGUUCCCACAUUGUAAAGUACUCAUCAUACCUCUUUAUAUGUGUGUAUCUAUUUUAGGAAGCUUCUACAGCAGUGGGUUGCCAAAUGAUUAAAAAAAAAAAAAAAAAA
rnacentral:lncRNA from 1 species